rnacentral:tRNA from 1 species
GGGGAUUUAGCUCAGCGGUAGAGCACUUGCCUAGCAAGCGCAAGGCCCUAGGUUCAAUUCCCAGCUCCG